rnacentral:rRNA from 1 species
AUUGAACGCUGGCGGCAUGCUUUACACAUGCAAGUCGAACGGUAACAGGGAGCUUGCUCCGCUGACGAGUGGCGAACGGGUGAGUAAUGCAUCGGAACGUACCCAGUCGUGGGGGGAUAACGUAGCGAAAGUUACGCUAAUACCGCAUACGUCCUGAGGGAGAAAGCGGGGGACCGUAAGGCCUCGCGCGAUUGGAGCGGCCGAUGUCGGAUUAGCUAGUUGGUAGGGUAAAGGCCUACCAAGGCGACGAUCCGUAGCGGGUCUGAGAGGAUGAUCCGCCACACUGGGACUGAGACACGGCCCAGACUCCUACGGGAGGCAGCAGUGGGGAAUUUUGGACAAUGGGCGAAAGCCUGAUCCAGCCAUGCCGCGUGAGUGAAGAAGGCC